rnacentral:rRNA from 1 species
UACGUAGGGGGCAAGCGUUGUCCGGAAUCAUUGGGCGUAAAGCGCGUGUAGGCGGUUCAGUAAGUCUGCUGUGAAAGUCCAGGGCUCAACCCUGGGAUGCCGGUGGAUACUGCUGGGCUAGAGUACGGAAGAGGCGAGUGGAAUUCCCGGUGUAGCGGUGAAAUGCGUAGAUAUCCGGAGGAACACCGGUGGCGAAGGCGGCUUCCUGGACCGACACUGACGCUGAGGCGCGAAAGCUAGGGGAGCAAACGGG